UAUUGGUUUGGUUUUAGUGGGUGCCAAUAACAUAUAAUCCUUUGCAUGGUAUAAAACUCAAGCCCAUUGGUUUUGAAAGUUCUUUUUAGGUAUUUUUUCAUGAUUCAAUCGCUGGGUUUCUAUGAAACAAAGAGCAUGAAGAUCAAAACAGUUUGUUCAUCUUAAUGGCUUCGGUGACGUUCUUCGUUGCUCCGUUUUGCUCUUUCAAGGUUGCAAGCAUUGAUACAAUUGCUCUUCUUCUGACAAAUAACUUGUUAUCUUUACACGUCUUGGUUAGAGGAACCGACAUAUAUUUGACCACUACAGAUAGUAUCAUUUGUUGAAGAG